UAUUAAUUAAUGUCUGAUACAAAAAUGUUGAUCGCAAUUUUUCUCGACAACUUAGUUAAUACCAUUAAAGAGAAGUUGAUGUUUUUAUUAAGGUUUUAUUUACUCAGAGCAACAACGUGCAACUCACUGACCCAUUUAAUAUUUAUAAUAUGGACACAAGAGAUUAAGAAAAUGAAAUAACCAUAAGGGUAAAUGCUGA